GGGGCCGUAGCUCAGCCAGGCAGAGCGGCGGAUUCGAAGCCGAAGCUCCAGACCCGUAGGUCGGGGGUUCGAAUCCCCCCGGCCCCA
rnacentral:tRNA from 1 species